rnacentral:tRNA from 1 species
CCAAUGGUGGUUCAGUGGUAGAAUUCUCAACUUCCAUGCCAGAGACCUGGGUUCAGUUCCCAGCCAGUGCA